CCGUCCUUAGAGUUUGAUCCUGGCUCAGGACGAACGCUGGCGGCGUGCUUAACACAUGCAAGUCGAGCGGUAAGGCCCCUUCGGGGGUACACGAGCGGCGAACGGGUGAGUAACACGUGAGCAACCUACCCUCAACUUCGGGAUAAGCCUCGGAGACGGGGUCUAAUACCGGAUAUCAUCUUCUGCUUCAUGGCGGAGGGUUGAAAGUUCUGGCGGUUGGGGAUGGGCUCGCGGCCUAUCAGCUUGUUGGUGGGGUAAUGGCCUACCAAGGCUUCGACGGGUAGCCGGCCUGAGAGGGCGACCGGCCACACUGGGACUGAGACACGGCCCAGACUCCUACGGGAGGCAGCAGUGGGGAAUAUUGCGCAAUGGACGAAAGUCUGACGCAGCAACGCCGCGUGAGGGAUGACGGCCUUCGGGUUGUAAACCUCUUUCAGCAGGGACGAAGCGAGAGUGACGGUACCUGCAGAAGAAGGACCGGCCAACUACGUGCCAGCAGCCGCGGUAAUACGUAGGGUCCGAGCGUUGUCCGGAAUUAUUGGGCGUAAAGGGCUCGUAGGCGGUCCGUCGCGUCGGGAGUGAAAACUCGGAGCUUAACUCCGAGCCUGCUUCCGAUACGGGCAGACUAGAGGUAGGCAGGGGAGAGCGGAACACCUGGUGUAGCGGUGGAAUGCGCAGAUAUCAGGUAGAACACCGGUGGCGAAGGCGGCUCUCUGGGCCUUACCUGACGCUGAGGAGCGAAAGCGUGGGUAGCGAACAGGAUUAGAUACCCUGGUAGUCCACGCCGUAAACGUUGGGCGCUAGGUGUGGGGGACAUUCCACGUCCUCCGUGCCGCAGCUAACGCAUUAAGCGCCCCGCCUGGGGAGUACGGCCGCAA
rnacentral:rRNA from 1 species